UGGACCACAAAUUUUAAGAGAUGAAUCAGCGAAUCGAGGUACUAUAACAUCAGGCCAGCGAUCGGAACAAUUAAACCGGCUUGUACAUUGACCCAACCUUUGAUAAUAGAAUCAUGUAGGAGUUGCUGCCUGGUAAUUUCAAAAUGCCAUAACUAGAGAGUUAUGAUGGGUCAACCGACCCAGUGGAUCAUUUGAAAAGUUUUAAAACUCUCAUGCUCCUAUAUGGGGCAAGC
rnacentral:lncRNA from 1 species